GACGAACGCUGGCGGCGUGCUUAACACAUGCAAGUCGAACGGAAAGGCCUCUUUCGGGGGGUACUCGAGUGGCGAACGGGUGAGUAACACGUGAGUAACCUGCCCUUGACUUUGGGAUAACUUCAGGAAACUGGGGCUAAUACCGGAUAGGAGCUCCUGCUGCAUGGUGGGGGUUGGAAAGUUUCGGCGGUUGGGGAUGGACUCGCGGCUUAUCAGCUUGUUGGUGGGGUAGUGGCUUACCAAGGCUUUGACGGGUAGCCGGCCUGAGAGGGUGACCGGCCACAUUGGGACUGAGAUACGGCCCAGACUCCGACGGGAGGCAGCAGUGGGGAAUAUUGCACCAUGGGUGGAAGCCUGAUGCAGCAACGCCGUGUGCGGGAUGACGGCCUUCGGGUUGUAAACCGCUUUCGCUCAUGACGAAGCUUUGUGUGACGGUAGUGGGUAAAGAAGCACCGGCUAACUACGUG
rnacentral:rRNA from 1 species